rnacentral:rRNA from 1 species
CUAAUAGCGUAUAUUAAAGUUGUUGCAGUUAAAAAGCUCGUAGUUGAAUUUCGGGAUCAUCAAGUUGGUCGUGCCUCUGGUAUGUACUGAUUUCGAUGGUUCCUCCUUCUUGAAGAACCGUAAUGCCAUUAAUUUGGUGUUGCGGGGAAUCAGGACUGUUACUUUGAAAAAAUUAGAGUGUUUAAAGCAGGCAAUCGCUUGAAUACAUUAGCAUGGAAUAAUGAAAUAGGACGUUCGAUCCUAUUUUGUUGGUUUCUAGGAUUGACGUAAUGAUUAAUAGGGAUAGUUGGGGGCAUUAGUAUUCAAUUGUCAGAGGUGAAAUUCUUGGAUUUAUUGAAGACUAACUACUGCGAAAGCAUUUGCCAAGGAUGUUUUCAUUAAUCAAGAACGAAAGUUAGGGGAUCGAAGACGAUCAGAUACCGUCGUAGUCUUAACCAUAAACUAUGCCGACUAGGGAUCGGAUGAUGUUAAUUUUUUAAUGACUCAUUCGGCGCCUUACG